AACGAACGCUGGCGGCGUGCCUAACACAUGCAAGUCGUGCGAGAAAGUUCCUUCGGGAGCGAGUAAAGCGGCGCACGGGUGAGUAACACGUAGGUAACCUGCCCCCCAGUCUGGAACAACUAGAGGAAACUCUAGCUAAUGCCGGAUGAGACCACGAUCCCUUCGGGGUUGGCGGCCAAAGAAUGGCCUCUACUUGUAAGCUAUCGCUGAGGGAUGGGCCUGCGGGCCAUUAGCUUGUUGGUGAGGUAACGGCUCACCAAGGCUGUGAUGGCUAGCUGGUCUGAGAGGAUGACCAGCCACACUGGGGACUGAGACACGGCCCAGACUCCUACGGGAGGCAGCAGUGGGGAAUAUUGCGCAAAUGGGCGAAAGCCUGACGCAGCGACGCCGCGUGGGUGAUGAA
rnacentral:rRNA from 1 species